rnacentral:rRNA from 1 species
ACGAACGCUGGCGGCGUGCUUAACACCUGCAAGUCGAACGGAAAGGCCUGCUUUCCCUUGUGGAUUGCGGGUACUCGAGUGGCGAACGGGUGAGUAACACGUGAGUGAUCUGCCCCCAACUUGGGUAUAAGCCUGGGAAACUGGGUCUAAUUCCCGAUAGGACUGCAGGGUGGUGCCUGUGGUGGAAAACGAUUUUCUAGUGGUUGGGGAUGAGCUCGCGGCCUAUCAGCUUGUUGGUGGGGUAAUGGCCUACCAAGGCGGCGACGGGUAGCCGGCCUGAGAGGGUGGACGGCCACAUUGGGACUGAGAUACGGCCCAGACUCCUACGGGAGGCAGCAGUGGGGAAUAUUACACAAUGGGCGGAAGCCUGAUGCAGCGACGCCGCGUGGGGGAUGACGGCCUUCGGGUUGUAAACUCCUUUCGACCGCGAGGAAGCCACCUGGUUGGAAGGGUGGUGACGGUAGUGGUAGAAGAAGCACCGGCUAACUACGUG